UUUGGGGAUCGGCCAAAAUAUGGUGUCGACAGGAAUGAUACAGAGAAGAUUAGCAUGGCCCCUAGGCAAGGAUGACACGCACAAAUCAAGAAAUGGUCCAAAUUUUU